rnacentral:rRNA from 1 species
UGUACUACUCAGAGUUUGAUCAGUGCUCAGAGCGAACGUUGGCGGCGUGCCUAACACAUGCAAGUCGAACGUGAACGGCUUCGGCCUAGUAAAGUGGCGUACGGGUGAGUAACGCGUAGGUAAUCUACCCCAGAGUUCGGAAUAACCGACCGAAAGGUUGGCUAAUACUGGAUAGAGCGACGGAAUCCGUAAUCGGAUUUUUCGGGAAAGGGAGGCAGCAAUGCCCCUCGCUUUGGGAUGAGCCUGCGUCUCAUUAGCUAGUUGGUAAGGUAAUGGCUUACCAAGGCUUUGAUGGGUAGCUGGUCUGAGAGGAUGAUCAGCCACACUGGAACUGAAACACGGUCCAGACUCCUACGGGAGGCAGCAGUGGGGAAUCUUGCGCAAUGGACGAAAGUCUGACGCAGCCACGCCGCGUGAGUGAAGAAGGCCUUCGGGUUGUAAAAGCUCUGUCGGGCGGGACGAACAUCUUAACAGUUAAGAGCUGGUAAGACUGACGGUACCGCCAAAGGAAGCACCGGCUAACUUCGUGGCCAGGCCGGCCGCGGUAAU